CAUUUCUGAAGAUGAUCAGAUUCUUCAUAUUCUUGGAGGAUUGGGCCCAGAUUACAACCCCGUGGUGGUUUCUAUUUCAUCCAGAAUAGAGCCAUGGACAGUCCGAGAAGUUUCCUCCCUAUUAUUGAGCUUUGAAU